AUACAGAACUGAAAGGUUAACCGUGAUCACGAAGGCGGUUCCUCCGGAGUGAGACCUGGCCAUUGCACCUCGGUUGGGUUGACCUCUGCGAUUAGUCCUAAUGUGAAUAACUCGUGCGUGUCAUUUUUGGGAGCCGGGAACUAUUAGAUAGAACUAUC